UGCCCGUUCUGAACAGCCCGCCGGUUUCUCUUGAUGAUCUUCACCGGUUGUCUCGGGUGACCGGCAAGUUUACUUUGAAAAAAUUAGAGUGCUCAAAGCAGGCGCGACGCCUGAAUAAUGGUGCAUGGAAUAAUGGAAUAGGACCUCGGUUCUAUUUUGUUGGUUUUCGGAACCCGAGGUAAUGAUUAAGAGGGACAGACGGGGGCAUUCGUAUUGCGACGCUAGAGGUGAAAUUCUUGGACCGUCGCAAGACGAACUACUGCGAAAGCAUUUGCCAAGAAUGUUUCCGUUAAUCAAGAACGAAAGUUAGAGGUUCGAAGGCGAUCAGAUACCGCCCUAGUUCUAACCAUAAACGAUGCCAGCCAGCGAUCCGGCUGUGUUCCUCGAAUGACACGCCGGGCAGCUUCCGGGAAACCAAAGCUUUUGGGUUCCGGGGGAAGUAUGGUUGCAAAGCUGAAACUUAAAGGAAUUGACGGAAGGGCACCAUCAGGAAUGGAGCCUGCGGCUUAAUUUGACUCAACACGGGGAAACUUACCCGGCCCGGACACAGGAAGGAUUGACAGAUUAAGAGCUCUUUCUUGAUUCUGUGGGUGGUGGUGCAUGGCCGUUCUUAGUUGGUGGAGUGAUUUGUCUGGUUAAUUCCGAUAACGAACGAGACUCUAGCCUACUAAAUAGACGUUCCUAUCAUCUGCGUGGGACGUUCUUCUUAGAGGGACAAGCGGCGAUUAGCCGCACGAGACAGAGCAAUAACAGGUCUGUGAUGCCCUUAGAUGUCCGGGGCCGCACGCGCGCUACAUUGAAGGAAUCAGCGUGUGCUUUCCCUGUCCGACAGGACUGGGUAAUCCGUUGAAACUCCUUCGUGCUUGGGAUUGCGCACUGUAAUUGUCGCAUCAGCAAAGAAAUU
rnacentral:rRNA from 1 species